UUUAUUAAACAAGUAAAACAUAACUGAACAAGCAUUUAUUGAUGUAUUACAACUCUAUGCAUUUCAGGUUGGUCCAAUCUUCUUCAGAUCGCCUAGAAAGAUAGAAGUGUUUGGUGUGUGCUCUGAAGGAACAGAAAAGCAAGUAUUCUACAUAGCUGAUGAGGGUAGAUCACCAGGUAAAGGUGCCAACACUGUGGUCAGCUAUCUGCACCACUACUUCCAGUGCUAUGGGGCAGGUGAGGCACAUGCACUCCUUCAUGCUGAUAACUGCAGUGGCCAAAACAAGAACACAGUCGUUUUGUGGUAUCUAAUGUGGAGAAUAGCAAAAGGUUUACAUCACACUAUUGAGUUCAGCAUGAUGAUAGUUGGACACACCAAAUUCGCUUCGGAUCAACACUUCGGCAUUUGGAAGAACAAGUGGAGACACAUGGAUGCAGAAAUUUUGCAGGAUGUUGCAAACAGCGUAGAAAAAUCCUCCCGAAACGGGCACAACCACCCAUACAUUGUAGAUGAGGAUUUUGAUUUCCAUGACUGGCGGCUCUGCUUAAGGUAGCGCACCUCUAAUGGGCACACAUCCAAAUAUAAUUUAAUUAAUUAUUUUCCUAAUCAGCAUCAUUUCACUGAACUACAUGCAAAUUUGUAGGUAGGCUUUCCAUGCUUUUUAAAAAAAUAUACCGAUUUUUCAAAACCACCCUCACGCUCGGCUUUUGUCCAGUUUAUUUUCACCCCUGGGGUAUAUAAAAGUUCCAUUAUUCAUUCAGAUUUCCAAAUAUGGGCAUGCAGUUGGUGUGUACAGAUGCAGUAAAGGUGUUUAAAGUUUAAACAAGAUGAAAUAAGUAUUCUUUUACAGACAUUUAUUUUUUACAAUUUUUUAUCUAUGGAAUAGCGCCAUGAA